rnacentral:rRNA from 1 species
UACACUCCUGCGGGAGGCAGCAGUAGGGAAUCUUCGGCAAUGGGGGCAACCCUGACCGAGCAACGCCGCGUGAGUGAAGAAGGUUUUCGGAUCGUAAAGCUCUGUUGUAAGUCAAGAACGAGUGUGAGAGUGGAAAGUUCACACUGUGACGGUAGCUUACCAGAAAGGGACGGCUAACUACGUGCCAGCAGCCGCGGUAAUACGUAGGUCCCGAGCGUUGUCCGGAUUUAUUGGGCGUAAAGCGAGCGCAGGCGGUUUGAUAAGUCUGAAGUUAAAGGCUGUGGCUCAACCAUAGUUCGCUUUGGAAACUGUCAAACUUGAGUGCAGAAGGGGAGAGUGGAAUUCCAUGUGUAGCGGUGAAAUGCGUAGAUAUAUGGAGGAACACCGGUGGCGAAAGCGGCUCUCUGGUCUGUAACUGACGCUGAGGCUCGAAAGCGUGGGGAGCGAACAGGAUUAGAAACCCGUGUAGUCCCAUG